rnacentral:rRNA from 1 species
GUCCACGCCCUAAACGAUGUCAACUGGUUGUUGGGUCUUCACCGACUCAGUAACGAAGCUAACGCGUGAAGUUGACCGCCUGGGGAGUACGGCCGCAAGGUUAAAACUCAAAGGAAUUGACGGGGACCCGCACAAGCGGUGGAUGAUGUGGUUUAAUUCGAUGCAACGCGAAAAACCUUACCCACCUUUGACAUGUACGGAAUCCUUUAGAGAUAGAGGAGUGCUCGAAAGAGAGCCGUAACACAGGUGCUGCAUGGCUGUCGU